GACGAACGCUGGCGGCGUGCCUAACACAUGCAAGUUGAGCGCUGAAGGAUGGUACUUGUACCCACUGGAUGAGCAGCGAACGGGCGAGUAACGCGUGGGGCAUCUGCCUUUUCUCGGGGGACAACAUUUGGAAACGAAUUCCACUACCACAUCAAACCUUCAAACACAAGUUUCAAGUUUGAAACAUGCCAUUCCAUCACUCAUAGACCAACCCGCGUUGGAUUAGCUAGUUGGUGAGGUAAAGGCUCACCAAGGCGAUGAUACAUAGCCGACCUGAGAGGGUGGUCGGCCACAUUGGGACUGAGACACGGCCCAAACUCCUACGGGAGGCAGCAGUAGGGAAUCUUCGGCAAUGGACGAAAGUCUGACCGAGCAACGCCGCGUGAGUGAAGAAGGUUUUCGGAUCGUAAAACUCUGUUGGUAGAGAAGAACGUGGGUGAGGGUGGAAAGCUCAUCAAGUGACGGUAACUACCCAGAAAGGGACGGCUAACUACGUG
rnacentral:rRNA from 1 species